GACGAACGCUGGCGGCGUGCUUAACACAUGCAAGUCGAACGAAGUGGCGAACGGGUGAGUAACGCGUAAUCAACCUGCCCUUCCAAGGGGGACAACAGUUGGAAACGACUGCUAAUACCGCAUACUGAAGGAGGGGAUUUCGUCUGAUUAGCUAGUUGGAGGGGUACCGGCCCACCAAGGCGAUGAUCCGUAGCCGGUCUGAGAGGAUGACCGGCCACAUUGGGACUGAGACACGGCCCAGACUCCUACGGGAGGCAGCAGUGGGGAAUCUUCCGCAAUGGACGAAAGUCUGACCGAGCAACGCCGCGUGAGUGAAGAAGGUUUUCGGAUCGUAAAACUCUGUUGUUAGAGAAGCGGUAUCUAACCAGAAAGCCACGGCUAACUACGUGCCAGCAGCCGCGGUAAUUC
rnacentral:rRNA from 1 species